rnacentral:rRNA from 1 species
AACGAACGCUGGCGGCAUGCCUAACACAUGCAAGUCGAACGAGACCUUCGGGUCUAGUGGCGCACGGGUGCGUAACGCGUGGGGACCUGCCCUUAGGUUCGGAAUAACUCCCCGAAAGGGGUGCUAAUACCGGAUAAUGUCUUCGGACCAAAGAUUUAUCGCCUUUGGAUGGGCCCGCGUUGGAUUAGCUAGUUGGUAGGGUAAAAGCCUACCAAGGCGACGAUCCAUAGCUGGUCUGAGAGGAUGAUCAGCCACACUGGGACUGGGACACGGCCCAGACUCCUACGGGAGGCAGCAGUGGGGAAUAUUGGACAAUGGGCGAAAGCCUGAUCCAGCAAUGCCGCGUGAGUGAUGAAGGCCUUAGGGUUGUAAAGCUCUUUUACCCGGGAUGAUAAUGACAGUACCGGGAGAAUAAGCUCCGGCUAACUCCGUG